rnacentral:tRNA from 1 species
GCGGGAGUAGUUCAACUGGUUAGAGCACCGCCCUGUCACGGCGGAAGUUGCGGGUUCGAGUCCCGUCUCCCGCG